rnacentral:rRNA from 1 species
UUAAGCGACUAAGCGUACACGGUGGAUGCCCUGGCAGUCAGAGGCGAUGAAGGACGUGCUAAUCUGCGAAAAGCGCCGGCGAGGUGAUAUGAACCUUUGACCCGGCGAUGUCCGAAUGGGGAAACCCAGUGCAAUUCGUUGCACUAUCGUUAACUGAAUACAUAGGUUAACGAGGCGAACCGGGGGAACUGAAACAUCUAAGUACCCCGAGGAAAAGAAAUCAACCGAGAUUCCCCCAGUAGCGGCGAGCGAACGGGGAGCAGCCCAGAGUCUGAAUCAGCUUGUGUGUUAGUGGAAGCGUCUGGAAAGUCGCACGGUACAGGGUGACAGUCCCGUACACGAAAGCACACAGGUUGUGAACUCGAAGAGUAGGGCGGGACACGUGGUAUCCUGUCUGAAUAUGGGGGGACCAUCCUCCAAGGCUAAAUACUCCUGACUGACCGAUAGUGAACCAGUACCGUGAGGGAAAGGCGAAAAGAACCCCGGCGAGGGGAGUGAAAAAGAACCUGAAACCGUGUACGUACAAGCAGUGGGAGCACCUUCGUGGUGUGACUGCGUACCUUUUGUAUAAUGGGUCAGCGACUUAUAUUCUGUAGCAAGGUUAACCGUAUAGGGGAGCCGAAGGGAAACCGAGUCUUAACUGGGCGUUAAGUUGCAGGGUAUAGACCCGAAACCCGGUGAUCUAGCCAUGGGCAGGUUGAAGGUUGGGUAACACUAACUGGAGGACCGAACCGACUAAUGUUGAAAAAUUAGCGGAUGACUUGUGGCUGGGGGUGAAAGGCCAAUCAAACCGGGAGAUAGCUGGUUCUCCCCGAAAGCUAUUUAGGUAGCGCCUCGUGAACUCAUCUUCGGGGGUAGAGCACUGUUUCGGCUAGGGGGCCAUCCCGGCUUACCAACCCGAUGCAAACUACGAAUACCGAAGAAUGUUAUCACGGGAGACACACGGCGGGUGCUAACGUCCGUCGUGAAGAGGGAAACAACCCAGACCGCCAGCUAAGGUCCCAAAGUCAUGGUUAAGUGGGAAACGAUGUGGGAAGGCACAGACAGCCAGGAUGUUGGCUUAGAAGCAGCCAUCAUUUAAAGAAAGCGUAAUAGCUCACUGGUCGAGUCGGCCUGCGCGGAAGAUGUAACGGGGCUAAACCAUGCACCGAAGCUGCGGCAGCGACGCUUAUGCGUUGUUGGGUAGGGGAGCGUUCUGUAAGCCGUUGAAGGUGUGCUGUGAGGCAUGCUGGAGGUAUCAGAAGUGCGAAUGCUGACAUAAGUAACGAUAAAGCGGGUGAAAAGCCCGCUCGCCGGAAGACCAAGGGUUCCUGUCCAACGUUAAUCGGGGCAGGGUGAGUCGACCCCUAAGGCGAGGCCGAAAGGCGUAGUCGAUGGGAAACAGGUUAAUAUUCCUGUACUUGGUGUUACUGCGAAGGGGGGACGGAGAAGGCUAUGUUAGCCGGGCGACGGUUGUCCCGGUUUAAGCAUGUAGGCGGAGGUUCCAGGUAAAUCCGGUACCUUUUAACGCUGAGGUGUGAUGACGAGGCACUACGGUGCUGAAGUAACAAAUGCCCUGCUUCCAGGAAAAGCCUCUAAGCAUCAGGUAACAUCAAAUCGUACCCCAAACCGACACAGGUGGUCAGGUAGAGAAUACCAAGGCGCUUGAGAGAACUCGGGUGAAGGAACUAGGCAAAAUGGUGCCGUAACUUCGGGAGAAGGCACGCUGAUAUGUAGGUGAAGCCCCUGCGGGUGGAGCUGAAAUCAGUCGAAGAUACCAGCUGGCUGCAACUGUUUAUUAAAAACACAGCACUGUGCAAACACGAAAGUGGACGUAUACGGUGUGACGCCUGCCCGGUGCCGGAAGGUUAAUUGAUGGGGUUAGCGGCAACGCGAAGCUCUUGAUCGAAGCCCCGGUAAACGGCGGCCGUAACUAUAACGGUCCUAAGGUAGCGAAAUUCCUUGUCGGGUAAGUUCCGACCUGCACGAAUGGCGUAAUGAUGGCCAGGCUGUCUCCACCCGAGACUCAGUGAAAUUGAACUCGCUGUGAAGAUGCAGUGUACCCGCGGCAAGACGGAAAGACCCCGUGAACCUUUACUAUAGCUUGACACUGAACACUGGUCCUUGAUGUGUAGGAUAGGUGGGAGGCUUUGAAGCGUGGACGCCAGUCUGCGUGGAGCCGCCCUUGAAAUACCACCCUUUAAUGGCUGGUGUUCUAACGUAGACCCGUAAUCCGGGUUGCGGACAGUGUCUGGUGGGUAGUUUGACUGGGGCGGUCUCCUCCCAAAGAGUAACGGAGGAGCACGAAGGUUAGCUAAUCCUGGUCGGACAUCAGGAGGUUAGUGCAAUGGCAUAAGCUAGCUUGACUGCGAGAGUGACGGCUCGAGCAGGUGCGAAAGCAGGUCAUAGUGAUCCGGUGGUUCUGAAUGGAAGGGCCAUCGCUCAACGGAUAAAAGGUACUCCGGGGAUAACAGGCUGAUACCGCCCAAGAGUUCAUAUCGACGGCGGUGUUUGGCACCUCGAUGUCGGCUCAUCACAUCCUGGGGCUGAAGUAGGUCCCAAGGGUAUGGCUGUUCGCCAUUUAAAGUGGUACGCGAGCUGGGUUUAGAACGUCGUGAGACAGUUCGGUCCCUAUCUGCCGUGGGCGCUGGAGAAUUGAGGGGGGCUGCUCCUAGUACGAGAGGACCGGAGUGGACGCAUCACUGGUGUUCGGGUUGUCAUGCCAAUGGCACUGCCCGGUAGCUAAAUGCGGAAAAGAUAAGUGCUGAAAGCAUCUAAGCACGAAACUUGCCCCGAGAUGAGUUCUCCCUGACUCCUUGAGAGUCCUGAAGGAACGUUGAAGACUACGACGUUGAUAGGUCGGGUGUGUAAGCGCAGCGAUGCGUUGAGCUAACCGAUACUAAUGAACCGUGAGGCUUAACCU